UCUUAACCUCAAACCUACACUUGUCCUUCCCUAUACUCUUCACACAGAGAGUUCGCAAGCCGCGUAGACGUUAUGAAAAGAAAUUCUCUGCAACACUUUCUGAUCAUAUUAACAAGAAAGAAAGAAAGAAAAAAAAAAGAACUCUCCUCUUGUUUUUUCAUAAUCAUGAUUUUCUUUUCUUUUCUUUUCUUUUCUUGACUCCAUUGGUCAUUAUUUGCUUGAUCUCAUGCCUACAUAUAUACAUUCUACGAGUACACUUCCGAACUUUUCUUUUUUCAAUGAUAAUAUGAUUAUAGAGAGAGAGAGAGAGAGAGAGAGAGAGAGAGAGAGAGAAAGCGGACAGGAAAUGAACUCCGAAAACGUCAUUUUGCGGUUCAAUAUUCAAAAUACAAGGUUGCCGGCCUGGAGGCUUUGCAACUGCUUACAUAGCAUUGGCUACACACAGGAGACUUGGCAGUAUAUGUUAAUUUCAUGCUAUGUUCAGCAGCAAAUUGAUCUUCUCCAAAGUAAUCAGUGAUACAACGAAUGUAUGCGUGUGUAUAUAUAUAUAUAUAUAUACUGCUACUGGAGAUGGCCAUUAAUCCUUUUGCUGGGAUCAUUUUGGUUAAAAGUGGAGGACAUGAGAGCAGAUUCCCAGCUAGUGCCAUAGCCAAACGUCGAAGCACUGAGUGAAACCAAAGGAUCCGAUGUGGGCACAAUCAGAUUGGCUUGUUCCUGCAUUUGCUGAUGUUGUUGGCUAGUGAAAGCUUCUUCAUUGAUAAGUGAAUUGAGAAAUGAAGAGAAGACCUCAUCGGCGCAGUAAUUGAUAUCUUCAUGUUCUUCGUUGCUAAGCCCAUGAAUGUUGCUUCUCGAAUCUAUCCCACAAGUACCAUCACCACAAUUCAGCAAACUUGAAUGUCCAUGGCUCGCAUUAUUAUUCCCAGUAAUGUGAUACUCAUGAUCCAAGUAAGUGUUUUCGAUGUAUACAUUUUCUUUGUUGCUGAUGAUUUGAGUACUGCCCCCACUUGUUGUUUCUUCCACACCAGCAGCAGCAGCAGCUGGAUUCUUAUUAUUACUACUCUUAGGGCUUGAUGCAUUGCGAUUUGUUGCUUUAGAUGAAGAAGCUUUGUUUUGAUCAACCGAUUCAGGGUUGAGUGGCUUGUGGGUUCUUGGAUCGAUUCCUUGGCUUAUCAGCUUCUUGCUCAGGUGAGUGUUCCAGUAAUUCUUGAUCUCGUUAUCCGUACGCCCUGGAAUUCUCCCAGCUAUCAAUGACCACCUAAAUAAUCCAAACAUAAUAUACCAGUUCAAGUUCAGUUAGUUAGACACAUUUCCAACGAAAAUGAUGCAUUCAAACCCAGAUGAAAGAUAAGAAGCCAUAUCGUCUACAUCUAUUGGUAGGUUCUUGAACUUAGUUAUCAUAGGAAAAAACCAGAUAAAUUUGCUAGAGAAGAUAGGUUUUUUUAGCUAAACUGGAAAGUAACCCAGAUCAUGUCCUGAGCUAGAUUUAUUUAAUGAGAUAGAGAAAGAUCGAGUGAACUAAACCUUUUUCAUGAAGAAGCAACCCUAGACCUAUCUAGACGAAGAAAAGAGAAACCAGUAUUUAGAACUUGCAGGACUAAACUCAUGAAAUAACACAAUCCACAGACCAAACCCUAAACCGCAAUCCACAAACUCUUAUCUAAAACAAACAAACUAAUCAAACAUAUUACUUAUUGGAUUUGUAGAUAUAUAUACACCUGUUUCCCAGAAGUCGAUGUAAGCGAAGAAUGAGAUCUUCUUCAUCAGGAGCGAUCUGACCACGUUUUACAGAAGGACGGAGGUAAUUCAUCCAUCGGAGACGACAGCUCUUGCCGCAGCGGAGAAGUCCAGCUCUUUUAGGCAAGGUCCGCCAGCGACCUUCCCCUUCUUUCCUGAUGUAGUUGGAUAGAAGUUCAUCUUCUUCUGGUGUCCAUGGCCCUCUCUUUAACCCUACCUUGCUGCAACAUGGUGUCUUCGCUGUUGUCGCUGCCUGUGCCCCUCCUGAAGAAGCAGACGUUGAUGGGUUUCUCAUCUUCUUCUUCCUUCUUUCUCUGCUUUAUGAAUCCAAGCAAAGUGUGUGUGUAAAUGUUGUGUUGGUGAUUGGAGGAAGCUUAUAGCAGGGAUGAAUGAUAGAGAUGGGUUUCUUUUUUUUUUUUUUUCUCUUUUAUUUAUUUAUUUAUUUAUUUGAAAUGAAUAGUUUUGUGGUCAUAUGUCCACUCGCUGUUUAAGAGAAUGAACAGCACGUGUCCAAAAACUCUGGUAGCAUUUUGUGAUGGGAUGAUGACUUUAUCGAGAUAACCUACCUGUCAUUUUAGUGUUCUCCCCUUCAACAGAAUCAUCACCAUGAGCGUCAUCUUCCUUGUCUGGCAGUGGGCGGAGUGUCUCCCAGACGAAGAGAGAGGAUAUGUUACUUUUUAUGAGAAUAAAUAUACGAAUUUUAUAUUUUUUAUCAAA